UACGGAGGGAGCUAGCGUUGUUCGGAAUUACUGGGCGUAAAGCGCACGUAGGCGGCUAUUCAAGUCGGGGGUGAAAGCCCGGGGCUCAACCCCGGAACUGCCCUCGAAACUAGAUAGCUAGAAUCUUGGAGAGGCGAGUGGAAUUCCGAGUGUAGAGGUGAAAUUCGUAGAUAUUCGGAAGAACACCAGUGGCGAAGGCGACUCGCUGGACAAGUAUUGACGCUGGGGUGCGAAAGCGUGGGGAGCAAACAGG
rnacentral:rRNA from 1 species